rnacentral:antisense_RNA from 1 species
UUUAGCAUUAGGCUUGCGUUCGAUGAUGCCGUUGCCGACCGCGUGCAAAAGGUGGGUUUUACCCAAACCGGUGCCACCGU